CCAUAUCCUGUUUACUUCCUGGUUUUGCUUGUUACUCAAGGAGUGCUUCCUGUUUGUGUUCUAUUGUGGCUCUUGGUUUGAUGAUGACCACCUGAAUCUGAGUGUUAAAGCUCAGGAGGAGCGCAGCAGCAGCAGGAGGAGGAUGAUGAUGAUGAAGGAUGGGACGGAGGUCCGAGCCGAAUCAGACGAUCCGCAGUCGACUCCGCCGUCGCACUGAACCUUCUCGCACAGCAGGCCCGAGAAUCCAGGAGCGCACUGACACCUCACGUUGUUCACGCACACGCCGCCGUUCUGGCAUCGGAGCAGCUCGUCGUCACACACCCGCGCUGAGAGAUGAGACACGGGGAGACAAGGGGAGACACGGGGAGACAUGUCAGUGUCCAAACACAGGAAGUGCUCGGGUCAUACAGCAGCAUUACAACAGAAACAACAGAGAAGCCAUAAAAAAUAAGAAUAAAAAAAAAAAAGAUCUGCAACACACAGUGUAAAACA